rnacentral:rRNA from 1 species
UGGGGAAUCUUGGACAAUGGGGGCAACCCUGAUCCAGCCAUGCCGCGUGCGUGAAGAAGGUCUUAGGAUUGUAAAGCGCUUUCAGCGGGGGAAGAUGAUGACGGUACCCGCAGAAGAAGCCCCGGCUAACUCCGUGCCAGCAGCCGCGGUAAUACGGAGGGGGUUAGCGUUGUUCGGAAUUACUGGGCGUAAAGCGCACGUAGGCGGACCAGAAAGUUGGGGGUGAAAUCCCGGGGGCUCAACCCCGGAACUGCCUCCAAAACUAUUGGUCUAGAGUUCGAGAGAGGUGAGUGGAAUUCCAAGUGUAGAGGUGAAAUUCGUAGAUAUUUGGAGGAACACCAGUGGCGAAGGCGGCUCACUGGCUCGAUACUGACGCUGAGGUGCGAAAGUGUGGGGAGCAAACAGGAUUAGAUACCCUGGUAGUCCACACCGUAAAACGAUGAAUGCCAGUCGUCGGGUAGCAUGCUAUUCGGUGACAC